CGGGAGGCGCCCAUGCACGGUCUGCAAAGGCACAGGAGGCCCUUGGGGUGCAGCUGAGGUAAGAACCAAUGUGCUUUGCAGGGCCCUGUCCCAGGCCUCUUGACAGCAGUGCCUGCUGGAGCCUUCUAGUCCCUCCAGCUGCAGGGCCAGGACACACAGUCAGCCCUUCUUAGAAGCAGAAAAGGCCUUUCCCGGAAUCCUGCUGAGGCGAGGAGUGUCAGGUUGUGUAGUGGGGGAGAGCUGGCCACCAGGCUCCACUUCUAUGUACCCUCUGCCUAGGAAGCCAGCCAGCUAUCUGCUGGAGACUUGCCUUCAUCACGACUUGUCACCUCCAGGAGAUGUUCCACUUUCCAAUCAGGUGAAAAAUGAACCUGAUUAAAAAUAGCAGACUGGCCUCUUCAGAGUCCCCUUGUAAAGUGAAACCCCUGGGUGCGCCUCCAAGUGGGAAAAGGGACAUGACUUUCCCCGGGUUCCAGGCUCCGAGGGCCAGUCGGCAGCUGCUCCUCUCCUUCCACCACCCUGCCCAGCCCAGAGCCCUCUCAGUCACGGCCACCAUGGUCAGGUCUUACUCUCUGGGCUCACCCUGUUGGCCAGGGGGCACCGUGACCACCCCUCCCCUCCCUUCCUUCCUCCUGCCUUUAAUGCUUAUGGACCUAGGCUUCUAGAGCUUUCUCAACACUGUGGACACAUUCCCAGUGGAAAGCAUGACAUUUUCCGUUUCAGAUUACGCACUCCACCAUGCCGCAGGAAGAGAGCGAGCAGGAAAACAAGGCCUGGGAGCCAGCCCCCCCUGCACCGCCCGCAGCUCAGCCCGGUUUAUCCUGGAGUCACCUCCCCAGCGGGCAGCGGCUGCCUCUCCCCCUCGCCGAAGGCCCAGAAGAGGUUAACCUCCUUUCUGCUCAUGUGGCACAUCUGGAUUGAGGCGUGCCUCUCCACUCUGUUGUGUUUUUUUUAAACUUUACUUUCCACUGCCAUGGCAACCACUGCAUGUUUGGCAAAGGGAAGGGGGGGGGGGCGAAAGCUCAGGGAGAAGAAAAGGAGCUCUCAGCGCGGGGCUGGCGGCCAUCCAGGGUAAUCAUGCCGCAGAGCUGAAAUGAGGCCUCUGGCGGGCAGCCAAGUGACAAAGAACAAAGCUGUCAGUUCCUAAUGUUGGCGGCAAAGCUUGUUUGGCACCCUUAUAUGGUUUCCCAGAACUCCCUGCCUUGGCCGCCGUCCAUUCCCUUCAGGGCAGCAAACGGGAUUAGCACAGCUCUGGGUUGUUUUUCUCCCCUCUGCUCCAACUGCUCCAGUGACAUCAUCCCUGCUGCAUUCAUGUGCCAGCAGGGUAGUUUUUCUCUGCUCCACCUCCCUCCCCCUGGCCCUCCCCCACCAACACUCACUUCCUGUGGCCGCCCCCUCGCCCCUCACUCUCUCCACGCAAUGUUUUAGGUCAUUCUUCUUGUCCAGCUUCUCUGUUAAAUUAAAAACACCCUGGUGCUUGUACAUUUAGCUGAAUCAAGCCAGACGCUGUAUUUUAUUUUUAUAACUGAAUUCCUGUGAGAUAAAAAUCUCAUUUUCCUUAGUCGGCUGUAAUCAGCACUCACAGGGAUGUGGUUUCCAACUGCCCCAUCUCGUGCUUCCUUAGGCAGCUCCGCAGAGAAAUGAACUUGGCUCCUGUUCAGGGUUAAAGGGCCCGAGGCCGGUCACACGUUGCUCAUUCACACGCACACACACACACACACACACCCCACACAAAUAUGCACCCCAAAACCAACAUAGAUACAUGCACACACACAUACAAUGUGCACACAGAGACCAUCGUACACCACACACACACACACACACACACACACACACAGCCCUUGUCAGGGAAAGUUGCCCACAGCAAUAAACACAAAGGGCCUGAGAAUACCCACCCAGAUACAAUCACACAGUCAGUACAGUAUCCUUCUCUCACUUUCCAGAAGGAAAAUAGGUGAAUAAGUGGAAGCUCAAAGCUGCUUCUGAAAAGCCUGGUUCAAGCUAGCAGGCAGGCGAGGAGCCUUAUGCAACUCAUGGCCGGAUGGAUGCAUGAAAGGAACCAGGGUUUGCGACUGCACAAACGGUCCCGCCCCUGCCCGGCCCCCCACCCUGCCACAGUCUGAUUCAUGAACUAGUUUUCAGAUUCAUGAAUCACCCGGGAGCCAGCAAGAGAAAAAUGAGUAGUAUUGAUCUCAUUUCAGCUGAAAUGGGCUCAGCAGGGCCAUGCCGGCUGUGGACUGCAUUCCAGGGCCGGACUUUCUGAGCUCCUGUCUACAGGCAGGCGCCCAACCUGGGCGGGGCCGGAUCCUGGGUGGAGCCUUUGCACAGGGUGCCCCUUAUUAUAAACAGGCACAAUACCAUCUACUGGUACAGGGACGAUGACAGGACCCCACUGUCCUUGCUGGGGACAUCAGUGCCUUCUUUGGAAGUCUCCAUUUUACUUUUUAAUGACAUCUUUUAAGAGACAUCUCAAUACCAAUUCCUUUUCUGGACUUCAGGUAACUUCUUGAAGACCACCUGAAGUAGAAAUUCACCUUCUGAAGGCAUGGACCUGUCUUAGGGUUGCUGGUUUUAAGGCAAACAAGUAGCCCUUGCCCCGACUCCCUCUUCAGCCAAGAAGGACAGUGAAGGGACAGAGAGAGACUCCAGAGAAGGGCCAUCUGAUUCAUGUAAGGGAGGGGACCCAGCAGCUGGGUGACUGCUUCUCCUGCACACAGCACUCUGGAUUUGAGAAAAGCAUUCUCUUCCUUCCCAAAUGAAAGGAAGACCCUUUCUUUGAUGGUCAGGGAACUUAGCCUGCAUCCAGAGGUCUCACAGAGAGGUGUUAGGUCUUGGGUAGAAUGACCCGGGCAAUCCACCAUGGGACCCUCUUUUCUCCAACUGCUCUCCUCUACCCGCUUGACACGUACCCCUUACCCCAACCCAGCCCAACCCUCUAAGCUGACCACCACAGGCGGUUGGCCUUGAUCUUCAUCUUCCCAAUGAAUGUUUGAGCAGUUUCUUCUUCCAGUCUCCCCUCCCAACCCCAAUUCAGCCCUGAGAGAUUUAGAAUAGUUGACUGGACACAGGCUUUUCAGAAACCCCACAGAAGUUGGCAACCGGCACCAGAAAAGGAUUCCAUCCUAAUCUGCAUGAUUUUGGAUCCAAGAGUCCAGAAGACAGAUUCAUAUCCAUUUCCUCCAGACACAUGGUCUGGCCAUUAGAUGCAUUUCACCCGCAGGGAUUCCAAGAGGUGACCUGACUCCCUUCAUUACUGUGGUGCCCAGAAGAACUGGGAGUGGACCAAAGAAGGGGGAAGAAGCUGUGUUUGAGCCAAUUUCAACCAGCAGCUGGCUCAGAGGGGCAAGCGCUCUGCCUUGGUGAGCGCGGCGUGAAGGUGCCUUUCAAGCUGAGCAUUCUCAGGCUUACUGCAGCCAGCCCUGGUCUGCCAGUCCCCAGGGCUAAAAGCUGUCCUGCUGGCUUGAUGGCUGGCCAGAGAGCGAGUGGGGAUCGAGGUCUGGCUCGUGUUUUGCGUCACCUCAGUUGCUUUGCCAGUGUGGCCCCACGUUCAGUGAUAAACCUGAGUCGCUAAGAAAGCUUUAUGUAACACCCACCCGGCCCGCUUCUCAGAGCCGCAAGCGUUGUUUCCAGAGUUCCCCAUAAACCUGGCAGCACAUCAAACCUCUGUUUCAUAACAGACUAGAAAUAGGAUUUUCUAAUAACGUGCCGAGCACUGAACUUAUCAUGUGGAGAUCAGGACUUUGGUGAAUUGCUAAUGGCUAGCUAGGCAGAUACUCCCAUGCCCAGCCUGCAGUCUCGGGUCAGGAUGGAGGGAAAGUCAAAAAACCAGUUUCUGCAUCCACGGUCUGCUGGUUGGUGACCUGAAAAGAGUUUGCUCAGCAAUCUCAAAUAUAUUGAGGAUCUUGUUCGUGUUUUAAAGAAAGAGAAAGAAAAGAUGCUUCCUACUGGUUCUUCCUUCAUGGAGACUGUGGUUUCCUUUCAUUUUGUUGCCAGACAUGUUGGCUCUGAUGGACUUGACCCUGGGGGAGGGCAGUGGCCUCCAGGACACACCUAGCUUCAGGGAUCCAGAGAAUCACCACUCAUCUCAGACUGCUCUCCUGGAGUGGGGGCAGUGGGGUGAUCACGUGCCCUUCCGCACUGCAGCCCCAUCAGGCCCUGGAUAGGCUGUGGCCAGGAAGGGACUUCCCUCUGAAAGGCCACUUGAAGCCUGUUUAUGUGCUACUCUAGAAAACUUCUUGGGGUUCAAGUGCAUGUUGCUUUGUUCCGUUUUGUGCAUUACUGUGGUGGGGAGGGUCAUCCUGCCUGCCUGUGUAGGCCUGCCGCGUGGCUGUGGAAGCCCUGCUUGUGCAGAUGGCCCACGGAGCAUCACUCAAAACAAAAGAAGCAGUUGUCACUCACCAUCAGGGUGGACCAGCUGAAGCUCUGUGGGGCUGGGCUCUGUGCCUGCAAGGCUGACCCUGGAGACAGGUCCAUGUGGCCCUGGAAUAACUGCCUUCAGUGUCUUGAGCUGCCUCAGGAGGAUGGAGCUCCUGGGGCUCUCCUCCUUCCCCCUGCAACCUCACCUCCUCCACAGUCUCCCUGGGGACCUUCCCUGGGCCGCCAGAACAAUCUGGGGGAACAUUGUCUUCGUGGCUGGGACUCAGCAUCCCUACUGCGUCCUCAGUUCUGUGCCCAUGCAGUGUCCACGACUCAGGCUUGUUAUCUUUCUCUCCCAGUCUCCUUAAGCAGCUCUGUUUUGAGAUCUCUUCUGCCUUCUUGCUGUGAACCAGGUCACCAACUCGGGAUCUCCAGGACGAUUCUCCCUCCCAUGUAAAAAUUUCUCCAGCCCCUCUGGUGUGUGUCACACCUUCCGAUUUAGCUGCAGGCAGCUUUCAUUGGCCCACUCUGCCCUUUUUGCUGGGUUAUUAGGAAAAUUGAUAAAGAAAAGGCCCCUCUCCCCUCACGUUGUCCCUGUGCCCAGCUGGUCCCUGGGGAGGAAGGCCCAUGUCUCCCACCCCACAUGCCAAUCCGCAAUGUGGAAGGACAGGCAGGGAAAGGGGCUUCCCUCCCUGGCUGCGACUGAAUAGCCUUGAGAUCCAUUUAGCGUCUGGACACCUGGUUGCCAUGGAGAUGGUCGUCAUAAAAACACACUGAUCUGCAGAGAGAUAUAAAGCCGAUCCCAGAGGUACACAAUUGGACACAUUAGCUCAGAGAAACACGACGCUGCUUAUCGCUUCCCUUUGUUGACAGUUCCUCUGCCUUUCAAAACCAGCCCAGGUGACCUUCUUAGAACCAGGCCAACGCAGUCCAUUUCCAGUUAAUAUUUUGUAAGGAACAACCAAAGGCUUCAGUAAAUGCCAGAUGCCCCCAGCCUUCCUGUCCUGGGCUGAGUCAGCCAAGCAGAGGCUGUCCUUUGGCACGGGAUGUUCUUUACCGCUUGCAUUGAUCGACUGGCAAGAGCAGAGUGGGUGGAACUGAAUACCCACCUUGACCAGGCUCAGGUCAGGUGGCUAGAAGGGAGUGACAGAUGUCAGCAGAGACACCUUGGGUGCACUGUUCAGUUCGCAAGGGAAGGGGCUAAAGGGGACACUGAGACCCAUGGGGAGCAUAGCAUAGCCUUGCGUCAGGAUGGGUGAUUCAGCAAAACACAGGUGUGUAGGGCUGUGUGUUACCCCGUCUACCUCCUUCCCCUUUACAUUCUCCAAACUUGCAUUUCCCCCUUGGUCCAGCCAACCUGCAGAAACCAAUAAAAGACUUCACUCCUCUUGGCUCUGGAGCACACACCCAGACUGAGGCAGCUCUGGGCAGUGCAAAGGGGCAGGCACAGAUCCUCUUGCAAAAUGCAAAGGAUGGUGGGAGUCCUUUGAAAUUUGUUUGGGUUAAGAGUUGAAAGAAUUAUUUGGUGUUCAGAGUUUUAGCUGUGCCAUUGCAAUGCUGAGGGUAACUCAGAGUAAGAAAAUGACUGGAAAAUGUUCCAUGGUGAUGGCAUGAUGAACACAGGCAAGGUCUACUUCCAAGAUGGUGCCCAGUGAGAGCCAUUCCAGCCGAAACGGGAGGUUGUCUAUCUGGAAGCCGGGAAGCCUAGAAGCUGUGGCUGACAUGAGACCUGGCAGCCUCUGUGCAUGUUGUCCACUCUUUCCUUCUUUUUUUGUUUUUUUCCUUUUAAGAUGUCUGAAUUCUAGAAAAUGGGUCAUAACUUAGUCACCCAUCUUGGCAUUUGAUCUUCAAUUAUUAUUUUGAUUACCCAGUGCCUCAGUUUUCUUCUUUUUUUUUAAAUUGGGAUUUUGUUUCCAUUUCAUUCCCAAAUGAGUUUUAAACUUGUCUUGCUUCAGUCAGUCCUAUCACAUGGUAACUGGUGGAAGAGGUAAAGACCAGACCGUGUGCGGAUGUGGCAACAAUUAUUGCAUUUACCAUGUGCACUGUUACUGCCAGACACCACCCAUGUUGGGAUGCCUGUUCUUACUACACCCUGUAUUCUGGAUGGGUAUGAAAAGACAAGUCUUUCCUUGAUGCUGCAGCUUCUUCAGCUAGUUUCACCAAAUGUCUUUGGCUGCUGAUGUUUUGACCUCUCAUUUGCAUAUUUCCAGUUACUCUGAAUAUGCCCUUGACCCCUUCUUAACAACAGUUUAUUGCCAGAGUCUUCAUUAUUUCCCAACUGUCCUUAUCUUUAUUUUUCUUGUGAAAGAUAAUUUUUAAAAGCCGUUUAAAAGCUCAGCUCACUUGAAGCUGUUCAGCUCCUAGUUCCCUCCCGGCUCUGUGGUGGGUGACUUUCUUUUUCUUCCACCCUCCUCCCCUGCGCAGAACAUGUUUAUAAACACACACCCUCUUCUCCUUGGUUCCUUUGGCUGGCAUUACAUCAUUCUGCCUUUUUUCCCUCCGCCCUCGUGUUUUUCCGGAAAGCUUUCCCCUGGUCCUGGUGUCUUCUUGUUCUCCAUCCACUCGGGAGGGAGGUGCUAGUUUGAUCCCUGCUGGCCCUUAUGGGAGCACUUGGGGCACUUCCUUCCUGCUUCAUCCUGUUUCCAUAGUCCAUCACCUCACCCAGCAGUAUGGCCCCUGUCAAUCAUCUUCCUCCCAAGGCAACAGCUUGUACCCUGGCAAGCAGACAGUGGUAGCUGGGCCUUACUUAGCAUCUAUGCACUCUGGUUGCAGAAUGCAGGAUUUCCUUAUAGUUUGGGCUUUUAAAAAGGCUUAUUAUUGAGCUUGAAAAGUGCCAGAUUCAUAGCCCUGAAGAAUAAAGGCCAAGUUUGCAUGUGCCUGAAAAUACGCUAUUAUGCCCAGGCCAGUUGGACGUCGGGCCAACCUAGAGGCUGCUGUUGCUGUGAGCUCUGCUCUGUUUGCCAUGGAAGUGGCCAUGAAGGUGUUCCCAAACCACCGCUCACUGUGUGUCUUUGAAACAGAACCAGGACUGGAAGUUCAGACCAGGACUGUGACUUCCAAGGGGCAGAAUGUUUGUCAAGUUUUGAAACCAGGGCUUUGCUGAUACUUUGUAGCCAUGCUACCUAUGUGUUUGUUUACACUCAGCCCCCUUGCCUUAAUUAAAAGUUACAAGGUGCGUGGGGGAGGUGGCACCCCUGUAAUCCCAGGGAUCCGGGAUGAUACAGGGGGAUCUCCAGUUCAAAGCCAGCCUCAGCAAUGGCGAGACGCCAAGCAACUCAGUGAGACCCUGUCUCUAAAUAAACUACAAAAUAGGGCUGGGGAUGUGGCUCAGUGGUCGAGUGCCCCUGAGUUCACUCCCUGGUUCCUCCCCCCCAAAAAAGUUGCAAGGUGAUUUUAAAAAAUGUAUCCAACUCUGCUUAAACCCCAUGUUCUCAUAAUUUGUAACAAGGCCCCAUCUUUGUACAGUGUUCUCUGUGCAAUACAGCAUCCUCACAAGCACAGCCAGGCCCAAGGUCUUUUUAAGAGAGAAAACAUGUGAUCUCCACAAGAAAACCACCAACAGGGCCCCUGAGCAUGAACACUCUACAGACCCGCCCCAUUAUCUCCAGCCCACAUUGGCCAAUGUGCCUGUUUUACUCUCCCUGAUGCUGGUGUGGCAUGGUUGCCCGAGAAGCGCUGGAGGAGAGGCACAGGAACACACAUGGCUUCAUGGAGCGCUCACACACGUGUGCUCACUUGGAAUGAAGGCAGGCAGGAGGUGCUGCCCUGACACGGAGCAGGGGACAGGUCAGUGCUGUCUCCGUGUCUUGGAGCAGGGAGGGAGUUUGGAUCUGGUGAUCCGGGAGGCCCUGACCCAAGUAGCUUUGGGAAGUCUGACUCUGCCCCAGAUUCACUUUCUUUUGGGGGGGGGGGGGGUUACCAGGGAUUGCACUGAGCCACAUCCCUAACCCUAUUUUGAACUUUUUAUUUAGAGACAGGGUCUCACUGAGUUGCUUAGUGCCUCCCUUUUGCUGAGGCUGGCUUUGAAAUUGCCAUCCUCCUGCCUCAGCCUCCAGAGCCACUGGGCUUAUAGGUGUGUGCCGCACCAGCCCCACAUUCACUCUUUAUGUUCACUCCUUUACGUUAAGACGUGUGGUAAUAAGACAGUGUUUCCAGAAGUUUCUUCUUAACACUUCGCUAAAAAUAUUACAGCCUCUGCCUGAGGUGACUGUCUCUGCUGUCCCAUCAGCCUUGACAGUCUACUGCUCAAGCACUGAGUCAGAUGCCACCUUCUCCUGGAGACUUUGUUCAUCCUGUUAAAAUGGAUUUCUUCCUUCCUUCCUUCCUUCCUUCCUUCCUUCCUUCCUUCCUUUUUUUCCUUCCUUCUUUCUUUCCUUUCUUCCCACCGCAUCCAAGUCAGAGUGCAACCUCCUCCUCUAUCAAGCCUGGACCCCCUGCUGUGCUGUGCCUGUGGGUAGAUAUGACCUGGGGUCAGUGCUAUGAGAGUGGGGACUUUGGCUUUUCCCAAGGUCACAACCUGUGCUAACACUGCCCUGUCCAGAGUCUGUCCCUUUGUGUUUUAACGUCCCUGUCCAGACGCCUCUAUGGCACUGCAGUGGACAAGCUCUUUGCCUUGUUAGUCUCCACGUCCUGAUUGCUGAACAAGUGAUCUGUGGCCUUGAAGAGUGACAGCAGUGGCACAGCCCAGGGAUAGAAGGAUGGGCAUCCACACAGCCUGCCCGACACUGUCCCUACACCGUCAUUCUGUCUCCGCAUGCUCCCUGUCCAUCUCAGUCACUGAAAUCUGGCUCCUUCCCUCACUCAGGACUGCCCCACCUCCUUGCCACAGACCUUCUGAAGGCCACUGGCCCUGUACUCCAGGGGACAUUGCUCAGGACUAUGUUCAGUUCUUGGGAGGCCAGUGAAGGUGGUCGCACCCUCACAGGGACUCGAUCCCUUCUCUGGGUGUCUGUGGCCGGCACUUCUCUGCUUCCGUCCUUUCACAGAACCUUGAGCAUCCAGAUCCCACGCUGCCUCAACAGCUUGAGCUCAGCCAUGGCUCCAAUGACCACCUCAGUUUGAAUGAGCCCUGGAUUUCCACCUCCAGGAAGACCCCUUUCCAGGGCUUAGACCUCAUGCCCACCCACACAUGAGGCAGCUGUCCAUGGGCACCCCAGGGACCUUUAAACCCAGCUAGACCCACCCUCCCUUUAGCUCCUCCUCAUCCCAACGGAUUCAGAAUGGCUUUGCAGUGACUUUGCUCAUUGGUUUGUCUCCACUGGGCAUGUUGUUCUAAAAUAUAGAAUCUAAAAACAGGACCACGUCACUGCACCAGAGCCUCCACACGCAGAUGGAGUCCCACACCAGGUGUGCCAGGCCCAAGCCCAGGUCCUGCCAGCCUUUCACCCUUCCCCAGCCCUGGCUUUGCACACAGGGCCCUUCCUGGUCGACCUCACCUCCUGUGGUCCUUGGAGAUGCGUCUUGGCUGCCUGUGCAGGGAAGCUGUCUGGGCCUCUGCAGCAGACCCCAGCGCCCCGCCUCUCUGCUCCCCAUGCCACUCCCUGAAUCACCCUCUGCUGGUGCCUGCCCUCCUCCUUCCUGCACUCUGAACUCCUCGGGAUUCACAGAUGUGCCCCUCCUAGGAGCCACCUCCUGUCACUCAUCUCCCCUGAGCACACAGUGAAAGUCUCGUGCUUUAUGCUGUCCCUGGUCCCCUGGAGUGUGAACAGAGCCACUCAGCUGAAUUCAUCACUGGUUCCUCACUGCUCCUCUGGAGUUGGCUGGUAGAGGGAGUUUUGAAAAGAAAACGUAGGCUUCUACGUUCAUAUGCUUUAAAAAGAAAUCCUGGCGUUUACCUCCCCAUCAGCAGCCUGCGGGCUCCUCCAUCCUUCCUUUGCAUUGAAUCAGUGGCAAGAGGUGAAAACUCCCCUCAGGGAAACUCCUUCCCGUGCCUUCUGUGUGCUUAUUCCAUCCACCAGCUCCAGUGCUGUCCCUAAAGCCCUCCCUUCACUCACCCAGUGCCCAGGCCUCCUUUGGACCUUGGGGCCUCCAGCUGCUGCUCAGUCUCUGUGGGGCCAAGGCUGGGGAUUUACUCCAGAUUCUUGUCCAAGGAUUUCCACCCCCAUAUCUUGUCUCCCUUUUUAUUCUUAUUGCCAGGUAGGAGCAAUUGUGAAUGUGUCUCUGCUAUGCAAUCUAACAGGUUGCCUACAAAACCUGAGUUUUGUGUCACAUGAUGGGGUCAUGGAAGAAGUGGUGUGUUGGGGUGCCUUCCGGUCCUCCGCAGGGGCCCUGCCUGGCUGAGCACAACUCCUGCCCAGGAGCACGACUCAUGCUCUGCCCACUGAGAGCAGUUAGGCCUGAGACCCAUGCCCUGCAGAGACACUUCCUACAGGGGACACCAUGUGGCCUCAUUCCAAGGCACAGCCGUCCUUUUCUAAUAUUACAAAAGGAAUGUAUAAUAUAUGUUCCCCAGUUUUCAAAGAUUCCCUGUGCAUUUUCCUAAUACAGCAGCUAUUUCCAUUAAAUUUUAUUCUUGAUUCAUCAUUUUUAAAUGCAGUCCUGUGCUUUUGAAGGCCAAUAAGAGAGAAAUGGGGUUGGCGGAUGGUGAGAAAGAUUGCUUUAGAGGAGAGGUGUAGCUGUCAAUCUUGAAGUCAAAUUAUCUUUGUGAACUAAAUGGUACCCGGAUUUUAUUCAAGUGCAAAGCUGGGCAAUUCACUGUGAUUUAAAACGAUCAGUGUUACACAUUGCGUGCUUCAGAUGCAUGGAAGAACGGGGUUUUUUCUUUUCUUUUUCUUUUUGCAAUAACCGAGGAAACACAUGCAAAUUGAAGUUUAGUCUGAACAAUUGACCACAAGUGCAUCAGGCAUUGUGCUGAGGACACCUGCCAUCAUUGGCCAUCACAUAGGACACAAAAUUAAAAUGGACUUGAGGUACUUAAAGUAGGUCAAGAUAAUAGAAAUAAAAAUAGCUCAUGUUUAGUGGAUUUUUCAACAUUUUUUAUUUGUUUUUGUUUUUCUUUUAAAGUAGCAAGAAGACACUAGGGGGAAACUGAUGGAACCACGGGCAGUUCUCCUUGGAUAGCCUCGAGUCUGGACCCUAGAGCAGAGGCUCUGAGAGUGAGGUCGCCGGGUCUUCUCAUUCUUCAUUCCCUUUAAGACACUGCUCCCCUCUAUCCCCAGGCUCCAGAGUGUCUGGCCUGAGGUUCUGGGUCCACUGGGAGAGCCAAGUGUGUGAUUUCCCAUCUGCUCCCUACAGACACUAGUGGGAACUCGCUGAUCGAUGGCGACGAUCCCUCCUCCAUCCUUUCCAUGUUAUGGUGUGGAUGUGAGGUGUCCUUUAAAAGCUCCUGUGUGAGGCAGAGAAAGAAGGUUCAGAGGUGAAAUGAUUGAG
rnacentral:lncRNA from 1 species